GCCAUCUUAGCUCAGUUGGGUAGAGCGCCUGACUUGUAAUCAUGAGGUCCCCGGUUCAACUCCGGGAGAUGGCU
rnacentral:tRNA from 1 species